rnacentral:rRNA from 1 species
GAUUUGACCUCAAAUCAGGUAGGACUACCCGCUGAACUUAA